UACGAAGGGUGCAAGCGUUACUCGGAAUUACUGGGCGUAAAGCGUGCGCAGGCGGUUCGUCGUGUCCGAUGUGAAAGCCCCGGGCUCAACCUGGGAAUGGCAUUGGAAACUGGCGGACUCGAGUGUGGCAGAGGGGGGUGGAAUUCCGCGUGUAGCAGUGAAAUGCGUAGAGAUGCGGAGGAACACCGAUGGCGAAGGCAGCCCCCUGGGCUAACACUGACGCUCAGGCACGAAAGCGUGGGGAGCAAACAGG
rnacentral:rRNA from 1 species